UAAAUUAAAAUAAGCAGCAAGAGGAAUUAGGGUAACCUCUUCGUUCCUCUUCCUCUCUCUCGACAAAUUCAAUCGGCGGCGAUGGUCCUCCGGCGCAACUCCGAAGCUUCUCCGUCUCAGCUUUCAAUCGCUCUCGAAUUUCCCUAUCUCAAUCGCUCAUCUUUCACGCGGAUGCACUCUUCUGAGUUGUUGUACAAAUCCGAGGAUAAUGAUGAUGAUGAUGAUGAUGAGUACGGACGGUUGAAUAAAGGGGAAAUUGAGUCGAGAGAUUAUUGAAACUCGAGGAAUGAUGAAUCAGUUGUGGACUUGAUGAUGAGGAUGAAAUUGUGCGUUGUUGUUGAAGACGAAGACGAUGAUAAGGUGAAGUUUGAGACUUUUUGGUUCGUUCCUUUUUUUGGUUAAUCUCUCCUCUCUGAUUCUUGUAUCGUUUCUGUUUCUGAGCUGGUGUGCUAUCAAUGGUGAAGCGUUGUUGUUGUCGCUACGUGAUGCAGAGAGAUGGAGAUGAUGACGUGAGAUUGAAGGUAUGAAGGAAGUCGAAGGUGAUGUUACGUCACGAAAGUGUGGAUGCCGAUAGAUAGUUGAAUCAGGAAUGGAAUUGAAUCAGUGUUGUUGUUGAAUAUCAAGAAGUGGAGAUUCCGAGAGAGUGAGGGAGAAGAUGAAAGUGGUGCGUGAAGAGGAGAUGAUGAAGAGAGGGAACUGAGAUGGAAGGUUGUGACGAUUCAAGAAGAUGAAGGUUGGAGUUGCAGAGAGUGAAGAUGGUGAAAAGCGAUGUGAAGUGGGGGAGAAAAUGGAGAGGAUGAAGGUGGAGAGGAUUGUGUGGAAACUGAAGAACGUGAAGAAUGGUGAAGAAUGAAGAGUGAUGGUGAAUUCCUGUUAUAUAGAGUUUCUUCAGGGCUGCCCUUUGAGUUUUGGGCAAGUGAACAAUUGAGAAGGCGCAGCAGCAUUUCCUUGAAGGGAACCGGUUCCGUUUGCACUUGGUUUAUGCAGAGAUUGGCUCAAUUUGCAGGUGGCGAGUUCGAAACCGUUAUGGGCAACGCUUGGGACCUGUUUUGGACAUGAAGGCACGUUAGCUGAACCGGUUAACCGGUUUACGUCUAUUUGAAGCUAGGAUAACAUUUACAGUUCAUUGAUCCUUCUUCCCAAAGUGUAGCAACGCAAACUCAAGCUGGUAUAGGAUUAAAGAGUACAAGGGGCAGAGUUUUGGCACAAAGGAAUGACAUGCUCAACGAGGAAAAGUGGAACUCACGAAAAAAAUAGAUUUAGAAGUGUAUAUUUGUGUAUGACUUUUAGCAUAUGUUGUAACUUGUAACCUGAGUCAAUAAAACGAGCUCCCUCUUCUUUUCUAAUUUUGAGAGUUGUUAUGGAUC